AGUGAACGCUGGCGGUAGGCCUAACACAUGCAAGUCGAACGGCAGCACAGUAAGAGCUUGCUCUUACGGGUGGCGAGUGGCGGACGGGUGAGGAAUACAUCGGAAUCUACUUUUUCGUGGGGGAUAACGUAGGGAAACUUACGCUAAUACCGCAUACGACCUACGGGUGAAAGCAGGGGAUCUUCGGACCUUGCGCGAUUGAAUGAGCCGAUGUCGGAUUAGCUAGUUGGCGGGGUAAAGGCCCACCAAGGCGACGAUCCGUAGCUGGUCUGAGAGGAUGAUCAGCCACACUGGAACUGAGACACGGUCCAGACUCCUGCGGGAGGCAGCAGUGGGGAAUAUUGGACAAUGGGCGCAAGCCUGAUCCAGCCAUACCGCGUGGGUGAAGAAGGCCUUCGGGUUGUAAAGCCCUUUUGUUGGGAAAGAAAAGCAGCAGGUUAAUACCCCGCUGUUCUGACGGUACCCAAAGAAUAAGCACCGGCUAACUUCGU
rnacentral:rRNA from 1 species